rnacentral:rRNA from 1 species
GACGAACGCUGGCGGCGUGCUUAACACAUGCAAGUCGAACGGAAAGGCCCUGCUUUUGUGGGGUGCUCGAGUGGCGAACGGGUGAGUAACACGUGAGUAACCUGCCCUUGACUUUGGGAUAACUUCAGGAAACUGGGGCUAAUACCGGAUAGGAGCUCCUGCUGCAUGGUGGGGUUUGGAAAGUUUCGGAGGUUGGGGAUGGACUCGCGGCUUAUCAGCUUGUUGGUGGGGUAGUGGCUUACCAAGGCUUUGACGGGUAGCCGGCCCGAGAGGGUGACCGGCCACAUUGGGACUGAGAUACGGCCCAGACUCCUACGGGAGGCAGCAGUGGGGAAGAGUGCACAAUGGGCGGAAGCCUGAUGCAGCAACGCCGCGUGGGGGAUGACGGGCUUCGGGUUGUAAACCGCUUUCGCCUGUGACGAAGCGUGAGUGACGGUAAUGGGUAAAGAAGCACCGGCUAACUACGUG